rnacentral:miRNA from 1 species
ACUGUGUCAAUCCAGGGUAGA